GGCCAUAGCUGAGUGGCAGAGCAUCUGUUUUGAUACAGAAGGUCCCAGGUUCAAUCUCUGGAAUCUCCA